rnacentral:rRNA from 1 species
UGCGGCCUUCGGGUUGUAAACCGCUUUCGGCAGGGAAGAAGCCGUAAGGUGACGGUACCUGCAGAAGAAGCGCCGGUUAACUACGUGCCAGCAGCCGCGGUAAUACGUAGGGCGCAAGCGUUGUCCGGAAUUAUUGGGCGUAAAGAGCUCGUAGGCGGUUCGUCGCGUCUGCUGUGAAAUCCUCAGGCUCAACCUGGGGCGUGCAGUGGGUACGGGCGGACUAGAGUGCGGUAGGGGUGACUGGAAUUCCUGGUGUAGCGGUGGAAUGCGCAGAUAUCAGGAGGAACACCGAUGGCGAAGGCAGGUCACUGGGCCGCAACUGACGCUGAGGAGCGAAAGCAUGGGGAGCGAACAGGAUUAGAUACCCUGGUAGUCCAUGCCGUAAACGUUGGGCACUAGGUGUGGGGUCCAUUCCACGGAUUCCGUGCCGCAACAAACGCAUUAAAGUGCCCCGCCUGGGGAAGUACGGCCGCAAGGCUAAAACUCAAAGAAAUUGACGGGGGCCCGCACAAGCCGGCGGAACAUGCGGAUUAAUUCGAUGCAACCGCGAAAGAACCUUACCAAGGCUUGACAUGCACUCGUAACAACUCAGAAGAUGGGUG